rnacentral:rRNA from 1 species
UACGAAGGGAGCUAGCGUUGUUCGGAAUCACUGGGCGUAAAGCGCACGUAGGCGGAUGUGUCAGUCAGGGGGUGAAAUCCCGGAGCUCAACUUCGGAACUGCCUUUGAUACAGCACGUCUUGAGUCCGAUAGAGGUGGGUGGAAUUCCUAGUGUAGAGGUGAAAUUCGUAGAUAUUAGGAAGAACACCGGUGGCGAAGGCGGCUCACUGGCCCGGUACUGACGCUGAGGUGCGAAAGCGUGGGGAGCAAACAGG